UCUCUGCCACCGUAAAUCUACCAAUUUCGUCGUCUCAGACGAAACCUCGCCUCCGCGAUGACGAAGAAGAGCAAAGAAGCUAACGAAGAUAAGACGACGAUAGAAACCAAAAUCAAAAGCGUAUCUGGGAAAUCUCAGAAACAGAAGAAAUCAGUUGAAAAGGAAGUAGAGAAAGAAGUGAAAACCUUAAUACAAGAAUCUGGAACUGAUUCUGAUUACGGAUCUUUGAAUUUGGAUGAUUUCGAAUCAGAAGAUGAUGUAACACAGGGAGGAACAGAAGACGGAUGGGUUAUAAAGUCUUAAUCUCUGUUUGGUAUUAAGACUACUUUGAAAUUAUAUUUAUAUAUUAAUUAAUGUCUUUGAUCUGUAUAGGUUGCUCCUAGAAUUACAUUUGGGGAUGUUCCCUUGGAGUGGUAUAAAGAUGAGAAACAUAUUGGUUAUGACAUCACUGGGAAGAAGAUUACUAAAAAGGAAAAAACAAGACACACUUGACUCUUUUCUUGCAACUAUGGAUGACUCUACGUAUUGGCGCAAAUUUUUUGAUGACUACAAUAAUGACGAGGAAGUGGAGCUGACUAAAGAGAAGAGCAAGAUGGUUCGUAGAUUGCUCAAAGGGAAAAAAGCUCCACGUGCUGACUUUGAUCCAUCUGCGGUAUGUGCUUUAUACCGAUCACUUCAAAAUGUGACCUUUUGAUUGAUUCUCUUGGGACCAGGAUUAAGUUGACUGGUUCAAAUGGACUGAUGCAAUACAUCCACUCUCAAGUGCACCAGAACCCAAGUGAAGGUGGAAUACAUUGCGACAUACAACUUAAACCGGCGAAAGACAAGAUUUUUCCGGAGUCUAAUGCCCAAACAAGGGAAACAAAGCCGGCGGACGAGUACAUAUCCCCGGAAGCAUAAGAGAAACCAACACAGAAAACAAACAACAAAGCAAAGGAAAAUUCAACUUUGGAAAGAUGAUGAACCCAAGAGCUAAAGACAAAGGCAAACUAGGAUGAACCUUUAAGAAAUAAACUAGUCCCAAACCGCAAUGUUUCUUCUUCUGAAGCUCUUGAAGCUGAGUUUUACCAAGGAUGCCCGAGGCCAAUCCAAAAAUAACAACCACCACCUCCUAUCAAUAUGAGAGCCAAUCUCUCGAAGCAAGAACCAAGAACUUCAUAACCCAGCAAACAAGACUCGAACGUUUCUGGAUACGACGACGACGACUACAUCGUCCCAUAACGUCUAGUUAGAAGCCUUCAAAACGCAAUCAAAUCUAAACAGAUUUGCAA